rnacentral:lncRNA from 1 species
UUCGAAAGUGGAGUCGAUAGUGUUAUCCGAUAUAUCUCAAUUGAGGUGGUGACAUAGGCGUAUGUGCUACUAGAUUAAAUGAUCCUUUAAUAAUUUGGUGUUAAUGCCUAGCUAGUAAAUGUUAAUUAUUAAUGGCUAACAUAAGCCGCUGCCAUGCACAUUUAGGCAGUUGAAACUGACAACACUAUACAAUAGUACUAGCUAGUUGACGUACGAACAUUCAAGUUGCUUGUUCCAGAAAAGCUUGCUAGCUUGGAUUAGCAUAGCCGCUUAGUCGACGUCCAGAAGUGAUAGACUACACAAAUGGCUGCCAUGGACCACAAGUUUCUCCUGAGAAAAUUAAUAAUUACUUUAAAUGAGGUUAAUUAAUUUGUUGCGAGUUACAUGUAGAUGCAAUUCGAAAACAGAAAACUACUCCAAACCAAAAAGAAUACAGAAAAUGAAUAUCAAUUAGUUAGUCUAUGUAUAUAUAUGCCAGUCAUUUUCUUUCAUUGGAGUUUGCUUUGCAAUCAUAGAGAAAAAAAAAAUUGUUUAAAAUUUCAAGAAAAUAUAUAAUCUAUGCCUAACCUUGAAAAUUCUACCACUAUUGCCUACCUUGAGUUUGAGUACAUAUGACCAGUAGUAUCAUAAACAAAUUAUCAUAUAUCUAGUCUAAGAUUAUGUACCAUUUCUAAAAGACCAGUGGUCCUGGUUCAUGCACCGGCACACAAUUGAAUUUUCAUUAUGUAAUUACAGCCAUGAAUUUUAUGUAGAAGUUUAUUGAGCAGCCAACCGAGAAAUCACUGCCGCUAGACGCUAGUGUAGUGCCAAGAGAAUACGAG